rnacentral:tRNA from 1 species
AUUUAUAUAGUUUAUUAAAACAUUACAUUUUCACUGUAAAAAUAAAGACAUUCUUUUAUAAAUU